rnacentral:lncRNA from 1 species
UGCCAAAUUCUUUACAUAUAUACUUUCUUAUUUAUAAUAAUAGAAAAAACUUCAAAUACCAUCAUGUGAUUUCGUAUUUUUUUAUUUUAAUAUUCUAUAGUUUAAAGUGUAUUAAUUUAGUAUUCCGUAGUUUUAUUUUUCUUUUUUUAUUAUUCUCUUCACUAAUUUUUUUUUUAUUAAAUCAAUGGCAAAAUUAAAACUAAAAGGUACUAAAGUGAUGUUCGAUAAAUUUAGAUGGGGUAUCUGAAGUUUUUUGCAUAUAAUUUAACAAAAUAUUAACGAAGGAGCUGACGAAAAGAAAAAAAUGAAAUCAUAGGAUACUGAAUUGAUACACUUUAAACCACAGAAUACUUAAAUGAGAAAGUACAAAACCACAUAGGUGGUAUUUGAAAUUUAUCCUAAUAAUAAUAAUGAAUUAUUACUGUAGUAUUUUUGACAUGAACAGAGAAAAUUUGUUAAAUUUGAUCAAAGUGAGAAGUGAAAAGUGAAUAUUAAUGGA